rnacentral:tRNA from 1 species
UGAGGUCUGGCUCAGUGGUAGAGCGCUUGCCUAGCGUGUGUGAGGCACUGGGUUCAAUUCUCAGCACCACAU